rnacentral:rRNA from 1 species
GACGGGUGAGUAAUGCCUAGGAAAUUGCCCUGAUGUGGGGGAUAACCAUUGGAAACGAUGGCUAAUACCGCAUGAUGCCUACGGGCCAAAGAGGGGGACCUUCGGGCCUCUCGCGUCAGGAUAUGCCUAGGUGGGAUUAGCUAGUUGGUGAGGUAAGGGCUCACCAAGGCGACGAUCCCUAGCUGGUCUGAGAGGAUGAUCAGCCACACUGGAACUGA